rnacentral:misc_RNA from 1 species
UUAGAAAUUUUGGCUUGGUAGCGUAUAUUUGGGGUAAUAAGACAGCAUGUUUGAUUUUUGCAAACCUGUAUAUCCCUUGAGAGGUCUAGUACUCUGUGUUUUUGCAAGCUUCCCUCUAUUGUAUACAUUCUUUUCUGUUUUAUUAAUUAAGCUUAGUUUUGUGUCUUCAGAAAUUUGCUCCAUUAAUUUCAGGUUUCAGGAAACUCAUUCCAAAA